CUCUAAGUUAAAUACCUUUCUGGACUGGGCUACCUUACAUAUCUCUCACUGGAGGCUGAUCUCUGAAGCAAAGAGGGUGUAGCCUAAAAGAUGAGAACGUUGGGUCUUCUGUACCUGUUGACAGCCCUUCCUGGUAUCCUGUCUGAGGUGCAGCUUCAGGAGUCAGGACCUGGCCUUGUGAAACCCUCACAGUCACUCUCCCUCACCUGUUCUGUCACUGGUUACUCCAUCACUAGUAAUUACUGGGGCUGGAUCCGGAAGUUCCCAGGAAAUAAAAUGGAGUGGAUUGGACACAUAAGCUACAGUGGUAGCACUAGCUACAACCCAUCUCUCAAAAGUCGAAUCUCCAUUACUAGAGACACAUCGAAGAAUCAGUUCUUCCUGCAGUUGAACUCUGUAACUACUGAGGACACAGCCACAUAUUACUGUGCAAGAUACACAGUGUGGAGUCUUCAGUGUAAGGCCAGACAUAAACCUCCUUGUAGAGCAACUAUGAACCAACAGGGGUCACACAACACACACCAAGCAUUGUAA